rnacentral:rRNA from 1 species
AUUGGACGCUGGCGGCAGGCCUAACACAUGCAAGUCGAACGGUAACAGGAAGAAGCUUGCUUCUUUGCUGACGAGUGGCGGACGGGUGAGUAAUGUCUGGGAAACUGCCUGAUGGAGGGGGAUAACUACUGGAAACGGUAGCUAAUACCGCAUAACGUCGCAAGACCAAAGAGGGGGACCUUCGGGCCUCUUGCCAUCGGAUGUGCCCAGAUGGGAUUAGCUAGUGGGUGGGGUAACGGCUCACCUAGGCGACGAUCCCUAGCUGGUCUGAGAGGCUGACCAGCCACACUGGAACUGAGACACGGUCCAGACUCCUACGGGAGGCAGCAGUGGGGAAUAUUGCACAAUGGGCGCAAGCCUGAUGCAGCCAUGCCGCGUGUAUGAUGAAGGCCUUCGGGUUGUAAAGUACUUUCAGCGGGGAGGAAGGGAGUAAAGUUAAUACCUUUGCUCAUUGACGUUACCCGCAGAAGAAGCACCGGCUAACUCCGUGCCAGCCGCCGCAGUAA